CUACUCUGGUUUCUCUUCAGAUUGAAUAAAGCUUUCGAUUUACUAAAGUUUUCUGUGGAGAGUAUCAUCCAUGAGUUUUCAAAAAUUUCUUUUUUUGAGGCUCUGCCCCUUGCAGGGCU